CCUCUGACUGCCACGAGACAUUGAGCCCAGGAAGCGCAGCGGGUUACAGUGAAAGAAACCCUGAUGGAGCUUUCUCGGGCUGCACAGUUGAGACUUCGAGCAACACUGCCACGUUGGAAGAUCCCAUGGUGUCUAGAGAUAUUGCUGCAAACUGCC